rnacentral:sRNA from 1 species
AUUGGUUAGAAUUUGGUUAGUUUUAAUUGGAUGUAUACUAUUAGGAGAUGACAUGUUGUUAAUCCCAUCACUAUUGUUCAAAUGGAGUGCCCCUUUGGACUCGUGACAUUGAGGAGGAGAUAGUUCCUCUCUGUAGAAACUUGAGCUUCUUGGUCUUUCUGAGGAUCAGAAGUGGCUCGUAACUAUGUGGACCUCAUUUGUUAAGAAACAUCGGUAAGUUGUUCUUGUUUUGAUUCAAGUCGUUUACUUCUUCUUGGAUUUGAACUUGUUGUUUUUGGAUUUCUACUUUCUGCUAUGAAUUGGCAUACGAAGCUCCCUGGUAUAAUAUUAAUAUUCUUCAUCUUUGAUUAUGUGUUCAUCAAAACGCAAAUACUUGAACGAAAGGAAUGAUUUUCCACAUCAAAAAGACUUUACUUAAAAAGAAAAUUUUAAGACGAAUCUGAUGAUGUGUUUUUACUCUUUGAAUCAAU